rnacentral:rRNA from 1 species
UACGUAGGGUGCAAGCGUUAAUCGGAAUACUGGGCGUAAAGCGUGCGCAGGCGGUUAUGUAAGACAGUUGUGAAAUCCCCGGGCUCAACCUGGGAAUUGCAUCUGUGACUGCAUAGCUAGAGUACGGUAGAGGGGGGAUGGAAUUCCGCGUGUAGCAGUGAAAUGCGUAGAUAUGCGGAGGAACACCGAUGGCGAAGGCAAUCCCCUGGACCUGUACUGACGCUCAUGCACGAAAGCGUGGGG